rnacentral:rRNA from 1 species
CCUACGGGUGGCAGCAGUGGGGGAUAUUGCACAAUGGGGGGAACCCUGAUGCAGCGACGCCGCGUGGGUGAAGAAGUGCCUCGGCGUGUAAAGCUCUGUCAGCAGGGAAGAAAAUGACGGUACCUGAAUAAGAAGCCCCGGCUAACUACGUGCCAGCAGCCGCGGUAAUACGUAGGGGGCGAGCGUUAUCCGGAUUUACUGGGUGUAAAGGGCGCGUAGACGGGUAUGCAAGGCUGGAGUGAAAGCCCGGGGCUCAACCCCGGAACUGCUUUGGGAACUGGGGAACUGGAGUGCGGGAGGGGCAGGCGGAAUUCCUGGUGUAGCGGUGAAAUGCGUAGAUAUAAGGAGGAACACCAGUGGCGAAGGCGGCCUGCUGGACUGCAACUGACGUUGAGGCCCGAAAGCGUGGGGAGCAAACAGGAUUAGAUACCCGAGUAGUC